CGGGGGAAUUAAGUCCUUGUUUUGGAUAAACAAAGGAACAGCACGCUUGCAAUCCAGUAUCAUCAAUUGGACAACCAUUUCACGAAUUGCAUCAUGUAAGUUGUGUUUUUCAAUGAAUUCAAAUAUGCCCGGUUUCAUAAGAUCGGCAUAAAGUGAACAAGCUUUUUCAUAUUGCCCACCAAUUACAUACAACUCGGCCAGCGCCUCUUUGAGUGCAUCAGUCAUUGAAGAGGUGUUUAGCUGAGGUUCUAUAGCAGAAAUGACAGGUAAUGCAGAAUAAAU
rnacentral:misc_RNA from 1 species